UACGUAGGGGGCAAGCGUUGUCCGGAAUCAUUGGGCGUAAAGCGCGUGUAGGCGGUUGCCUAAGUCGGGUGUGAAAGCCUUGAGCUCAACUCAAGAAAUGCACUCGGUACUGGGUGACUAGAGGACCGGAGAGGAUAGUGGAAUUCCCGGUGUAGUGGUGAAAUACGUAGAGAUUGGGAAGAACACCAGUGGCGAAGGCGGCUAUCUGGACGGUUUCUGACGCUAAGACGCGAAAGCGUGGGGAGCAAACAGG
rnacentral:rRNA from 1 species